GGUAGCUCAGUUAGUUAGAUCAUGGUGCUGAGAAUGCCAAGGUUGCAAGUUCAAUCCCUGUACGGACAGCUGCA